rnacentral:rRNA from 2 species
UGGCGGCCUUAGCGCGGUGGUCCCACCUGACCCCAUGCCGAACUCAGAAGUGAAACGCCGUAGCGCCGAUGGUAGUGUGGGGUCUCCCC